UAGCUGGGAUUACAGGCAUGUGCCACCACAUCCAGCUAACUUUUGUAUUUUUAGUAGAGACAGGGUUUCUCCAUGUUGGUCAGGUUGGUCUCAAACUCCUGACCUCACGUGAUCCACCCACCUCAGCCUCCCAAAGUGCUGGGAUUACAGGCGUGAGCCACUGCGCCCGGCCACAUUCAGUUCUUAUCAAAGAAAUAACCCAGACUUAAUCUUGAAUGAUACGAUUAUGCCCAAUAUUAAGUAAAAAAUAUAAGAAAAGGUUAUCUUAAAUAGAUCUUAGGCAAAAUACCAGCUGAUGAAGGCAUCUGAUGCCUUCAUCUGUUCAGUCAUCUCCAAAAACAGUAAAAAUAACCACUUUUUGUUGGGCAAUAUGAAAUUUUUAAAGGAGUAGAAUACCAAAUGAUAGAAACAGACUGCCUGAAUUGAGAAUUUUGAUUUCUUAAAGUGUGUUUCUUUCUAAAUUGCUGUUCCUUAAUUUGAUUAAUUUAAUUCAUGUAUUAUGAUUAAAUCUGAGGCAGAUGAGCUUACAAGUAUUGAAAUAAUUACUAAUUAAUCACAAAUGUGAAGUUAUGCAUGAUGUAAAAAAUACAAACAUUCUAAUUAAAGGCUUUGCAACACAUGCCUUGUCUGUUUUUAUUUAGACUCCUAUAGUGUCUCUGAAGAAAAGAAUACAGAUAUUUGAAAAAA
rnacentral:lncRNA from 1 species